rnacentral:rRNA from 3 species
AAAACGACUCUCGGCAACGGAUAUCUCGGCUCUCGCAUCGAUGAAGAACGUAGCGAAAUGCGAUACUUGGUGUGAAUUGCAGAAUCCCGUGAACCAUCGAGUCUUUGAACGCAAGUUGCGCCCAAAGCCUUCUGGUUGAGGGCACGUCUGCCUGGGUGUCACAC